rnacentral:rRNA from 1 species
GCAAAUUAGAUCCGUAACUUCGGGAUAAGGAUUGGCUCUGAAGAUUGAGAUAGUCGGGCUUGAUUGGGAAACAAUAACAUGGUUUAUGUGCUCGUUCUGGGUAAAUAGAGUUUCUAGCAUUUAUGUUAGUUACUUGUUCCCCGGAUAGUUUAGUUACGUAGCCAAUUGUGGAACUUUCUUGCUAAAAUUUUUAAGAAUACUAUUUGGGUUAAACCAAUUAGUUCUUAUUAAUUAUAACGAUUAUCAAUUAACAAUCAAUUCAGAACUGGCACGGACUUGGGGAAUCCGACUGUCUAAUUAAAACAAAGCAUUGUGAUGGCCCUAGCGGGUGUUGACACAAUGUGAUUUCUGCCCAGUGCUCUGAAUGUCAAAGUGAAGAAAUUCAAGUAAGCGCGGGUCAACGGCGGGAGUAACUAUGACUCUCUUAAGGUAGCCAAAUGCCUCGUCAUCUAAUUAGUGACGCGCAUGAAUGGAUUAACGAGAUUCCUACUGUCCCUAUCUACUAUCUAGCGAAACCACAGCCAAGGGAACGGGCUUGGAAUAAUUAGCGGGGAAAGAAGACCCUUUUGAGCUUGACUCUAAUCUGGCAGUGUAAGGAGACAUAAGAGGUGUAGAAUAAGUGGGAGAUAUUAGACCUCGGUUUGGUAUCGUCAAUGAAAUACCACUACUCUUAUUGUUUCCUUACUUACUUGAUUAAAUGGAACGUGUAUCAUUUCCUAGCCAUUAUACGGAUAUAUUUAUUAUAUCUUAUGGUAUUGGGUUUUGAUGCAAGCUUCUUGAUCAAAGUAUCACGAGUUUGUUAUAUAAUCGCAAACAAAUUCUUUAAUAAAACGAUGCAUUUAUGUAUUUUUGAUUUGAAAAUUUGGUAUAACUCCAAUUACUCAGGUAUGAUCCAAUUCAAGGACAUUGCCAGGUAGGGAGUUUGACUGGGGCGGUACAUCUCUCAAAUAAUAACGGAGGUGUCCCAAGGCCAGCUCAGUGCGGACAGAAACCACACAUAGAGCAAAAGGGCAAAUGCUGACUUGAUCUCGGUGUUCAGUACACACAGGGACAGCAAAAGCUCGGCCUAUCGAUCCUUUUGGUUUAAAGAGUUUUUAACAAGAGGUGUCAGAAAAGUUACCAUAGGGAUAACUGGCUUGUGGCGGCCAAGCGUUCAUAGCGACGUCGCUUUUUGAUCCUUCGAUGUCGGCUCUUCCUAUCAUUGUGAAGCAAAAUUCACCAAGCGUUGGAUUGUUCACCCAUGCAAGGGAACGUGAGCUGGGUUUAGACCGUCGUGAGACAGGUUAGUUUUACCCUACUAAUGACAAAACGUUGUUGCGACAGCAUUCCUGCGUAGUACGAGAGGAACCGCAGGUACGGACCAAUGGCACAAUACUUGUUCGAGCGAACAGUGGUAUGACGCUACGUCCGUUGGAUUAUGCCUGAACGCCUCUAAGGUCGUAUCCGUGCUGGACUGCAAUGAUAAAUAAGGGGCAAUUUGCAUUGU